rnacentral:rRNA from 1 species
ACGAACGCUGGCCGCGUGCUUAACACAUGCAAUUCGAACGGAAAGGCCCUGCUUUUGUGGGGUGCUCGAGUGGCGAACGGGUGAGUAACACGUGAGUAACCUGCCCUUGACUUUGGGAUAACUUCAGGAAACUGGGGCUAAUACCGGAUAGGAGCUCCUGCUGCAUGGUGGGGGUUGGAAAGUUUCGGCGGUUGGGGAUGGACUCGCGGCUUAUCAGCUUGUUGGUGGGGUAGUGGCUUACCAAGGCUUUGACGGGUAGCCGGCCUGAGAGGGUGACCGGCCACAUUGGGACUGAGAUACGGCCCAGACUCCUACGGGAGGCAGCAGUGGGGAAUAUUGCACAAUGGGCGGAAGCCUGAUGCAGCAACGCCGCGUGCGGGAUGACGGCCUUCGGGUUGUAAACCGCUUUCGCCUGUGACGAAGCGUGAGUGACGGUAAUGGGUAAAGAAGCACCGGCUAACUACGUG